UNUGACUUGAGUGCAGAAGGGGAGAGUGGAAUUCCAUGUGUAGCGGUGAAAUGCGUAGAUAUAUGGAGGAACACCAGUGGCGAAAGCGGCUCUCUGGUCUGUCACUGACGCUGAGGCUCGAAAGCGUGGGUAGCGAACAGGAUUAGAUACCCUGGUAGUNCACGCCGUAAACGAUGAGUGCUAGGUGUUAGGCCCUUUCCGGGGCUUAGUGCCGGAGCUAACGCAAUAAGCACUCCGCCUGGGGAGUACGACCGCAAGGUUGAAACUCAAAGGAAUUGACGGGGGCCCGCACAAGCGGUGGAGCAUGUGGUUUAAUUCGAAGCAACGCGAAGAACCUUACCAGGUCUUGACAUCCCGAUGCUAUUCUUAGAGAUAGGAAGUUACUUCGGUACAUCGGAGACAGGUGGUGCAUGGUUGUCGUCAGCUCGUGUCGUGAGAUGUUGGGUUAAGUCCCGCAACGAGCGCAACCCUUAUUGUUAGUUGCCAUCAUUAAGUUGGGCACUCUAGCGAGACUGCCGGUAAUAAACCGGAGGAAGGUGGGGAUGACGUCAAAUCAUCAUGCCCCUUAUGACCUGGGCUACACACGUGCUACAAUGGUCGGUACAACGAGUUGCGAGCCGGUGACGGCAAGCUAAUCUCUGAAAGCCGAUCUCAGUUCGGAUUGGAGGCUGCAACUCGCCUCCAUGAAGUCGGAAUCGCUAGUAAUCGCGGAUCAGCACGCCGCGGUGAAUACGUUCCCGGGCCUUGUACACACCGCCCGUCACACCACGAGAGUUUGUAACACCCGAAGUCGNUGAGGUA
rnacentral:rRNA from 1 species